rnacentral:rRNA from 1 species
GAUGAACGCUGGCGGCGUGCCUAAUACAUGCAAGUCGAGCGAACGGACGAGAAGCUUGCUUCUCCGAUGUUAGCGGCGGACGGGUGAGUAACACGUGGAUAACCUACCUAUAAGACUGGGAUAACUUCGGGAAACCGGAGCUAAUACCGGAUGAUAUUUUGAACCGCAUGGUUCAAAAGUGAAAGACGGUCUUGCUGUCACUUAUAGAUGGAUCCGCGCUGCAUUAGCUAGUUGGUAAGGUAACGGCUUACCAAGGCAACGAUGCAUGGCCGACCUGAGAGGGUGAUCGGCCACACUGGAACUGAGACACGGUCCAGACUCCUACGGGAGGCAGCAGUAGGGAAUCUUCCGCAAUGGGCGAAAGCCUGACGGAGCAACGCCGCGUGAGUGAUGAAGGUCUUCGGAUCGUAAAACUCUGUUAUUAGGGAAGAACAUAUGUGUAAGUAACUGUGCACAUCUUGACGGUACCUAAUCAGAAAGCCACGGCUAACUACGUG